UCCGGUUUGUCACCGGCAGUCUCAUUAGAGUGCUCAACUAAAUGUAGCAACUAAUGACAAGGGUUGCGCUCGUUGCGGGACUUAACCCAACAUCUCACGACACGAGCUGACGACAGCCAUGCAGCACCUGUGUUCAGAUUCUCUUUCGAGCACGAAUCCAUCUCUGGAAACUUUCUGACAUGUCAAGGGUAGGUAAGGUUUUUCGCGUUGCAUCGAAUUAAACCACAUCAUCCACCGCUUGUGCGGGUCCCCGUCAAUUCCUUUGAGUUUUAAUCUUGCGACCGUACUCCCCAGGCGGCCUACUUCACGCGUUAGCUUCGUUACUGAGAAAAUAAAUUCCCAACAACUAGUAGGCAUCGUUUAGGGCGUGGACUAC
rnacentral:misc_RNA from 1 species